CCUCAGCUCCUUUUGUCCUCUUGGAGUGUGCCAGGAACUCACGGAAGGCCUCUGUACAGUGUCCUUUACUGGGAAUACAUAGCAUGUCUAUUGCAUUCUCUCCUGUGGCCAACCUGUUCCCAUGCUUGUUUUCUGGCUCCAGCUUCCCAUUAACAGAAUCCCUGGGGAAAGAGCAGUUCCCUUACAGUAGCAGGUUGCUAGCAUUCCUGAGUGUCACCCAUAGUGAAGAGGUCUGCCUCGAUUCCUAGCACAAAUGGAGAUAGCAUUACCACUGUGCUGCUGGUAAAGGCUGGUUUGAGGAGUGACAAGCUUCUCCAGAGAGCUCCACUGGAAAGAAAUAGUGAAAGGAAAUAAGGAUGCCUUUUAGACUGGACACCAUGACUCCUUUGUCCCCCUUCUGCACCUGUCCUCAGAGCUGCAUCAAAUGCAAGACAGAACUCAGGGACCAUUACUUCAGGUGACCAAGUCGAACCACGGACUAUGGUUACUGAUCUUGCAGUGGC
ensembl:lncRNA